AGGAGUGCACUCGUGAAAGCAUCAAGGAAAGCAACAACAACACAGGAGGUGGGAAAGGACCCAACCUUUGCCUGAACAACAGUCACUCUUACAAGGAAAUCAGAAAAUCGUUCUUAAUUCUUUUCUCAUUGGUAACCAGGAUUUUGCCUUUCUCAAGCACUUAGGAGUUCCGGUGGCUUCAUGUUCAACAUCAGUAUCACUGGGCAAAAAUCAAGGUGUGGGCAGGAUCACACUCUGGAGGCUCUAGAGGAGAAUAUUCCCUGUCCUGUCUACGUCUCGUGGCUGCCUGCAUUCCUUUGCUUGUGGCUGCACUGCUCCAAUUUCUGC
rnacentral:lncRNA from 1 species